CCUUUAAAGAAAGCGUAAUAGCUCACUAGUCGAGUCGGCCUGCGCGGAAGAUGUAACGGGGCUCAAACUAGGAGCCGAAGCUGCGGAUUUAAUUGUUUCAAUUAAGUGGUAGGGGAGCAUUGUGUAAGCCUGUGAAGGUGUGUUGUAAAGCAUGCUGGAGGUAUCACAAGAGCGAAUGCUGACGUGAGUAACGACAAUGCGAGUGAAAAGCUCGCACGCCGGAAGACCAAGGGUUCCAGUCCAACGUUAAUCGGGGCUGGGUGAGUCGACCCCUAAGGCGAGGCCGAAAGGCGUAGUCGAUGGGAAAUCGGUUAAUAUUCCGAUACUUGUUUAUGAUGCGAUGGAGGGACGGAGAAGGUUAUGCCAGCUUGGCGAUGGUUGUCCAAGUGGAAGGAUGUAGUUAGGUUUAGUAGGCAAAUCCGCUAGACUAUUAAUGAGAUCUGAUAGCAAGCUGUACUUGUACAGCGAAGUGGCAAAUACCCUGCUUCCAGGAAAAGCUUCUAAGCGAUAGUCAUAAAGAAAUCGUACCCUAAACCGACACAGGUGGUCAGGUAGAGAAUACCAAGGCGCUUGAGAGAACUCUGCUGAAGGAACUAGGCAAAAUGGUACCGUAACUUCGGGAGAAGGUACGCUGCCGAUGGUGAGUAGUCACGCACUACAAAGCUAUUGGCAGUCGCAGAUACCAGGCCGCUGCAACUGUUUAUUAAAAACACAGCACUCUGCAAACACGAAAGUGGACGUAUAGGGUGUGAUGCCUGCCCGGUGCUGGAAGGUUAAUUGAUGGGGUUAGCGUAAGCGAAGCUCUUGAUCGAAGCCCCAGUAAACGGCGGCCGUAACUAUAACGGUCCUAAGGUAGCGAAAUUCCUUGUCGGGUAAGUUCCGACCUGCACGAAUGGCAUAAUGAUGGCGGCGCUGUCUCCAGCAGAGACUCAGUGAAAUCGAAAUCGCAGUGAAGAUGCUGUGUACCCGCGGCUAGACGGAAAGACCCCGUGAACCUUUACUACAGCUUUACAUUGAACUUUGACCUUACCUGUGUAGGAUAGGUGGGAGGCUUUGAAGCAGGCACGCCAGUGUCUGUGGAGCCAUCCUUGAAAUACCACCCUGGUAAUGUUGGGGUUCUAACUCAAGCUUAACAGAGCUGAGGACAAUGUAUGGUGGGUAGUUUGACUGGGGCGGUCUCCUCCUAAAGAGUAACGGAGGAGUACGAAGGUGCGCUCAGAACGGUCGGAAAUCGUUCGAAGAGUAUAAAGGCAAAAGCGCGCUUAACUGCGAGACCCACAAGUCGAGCAGAUACGAAAGUAGGUCUUAGUGAUCCGGUGGUUCUGUAUGGAAGGGCCAUCGCUCAACGGAUAAAAGGUACUCUGGGGAUAACAGGCUGAUACCGCCCAAGAGUUCAUAUCGACGGCGGUGUUUGGCACCUCGAUGUCGGCUCAUCUCAUCCUGGGGCUGAAGCAGGUCCCAAGGGUAUGGCUGUUCGCCAUUUAAAGAGGUACGCGAGCUGGGUUUAGAACGUCGUGAGACAGUUCGGUCCCUAUCUACCGUGGGCGUUGGAAAUUUGAGAGGAUCUGCUCCUAGUACGAGAGGACCAGAGUGGACGAACCUCUGGUGUUUCGGUUGUGACGCCAGUCGCAUUGCCGAGUAGCUAUGUUCGGAUGGGAUAACCGCUGAAAGCAUCUAAGCGGGAAGCCCACCUUAAGAUUAGAUUUCCCUAAAGAGCCGUUGUAGACUACGACGUUGAUAGGUUGGGUGUGGAAGCAUAGUGAUAUGUGUAGCUAACCAAUACUAAUUGCUCGUUUGGCUUGACUAUACAACGCCUAA
rnacentral:rRNA from 1 species